AACGCUGUCGGCGUGCUUAACACAUGCAAGUCGAGCGAAGCGCUUUUGCGGAUUUCUUCGGAUUGAAGCAACUGUGACUGAGCGGCGGACGGGUGAGUAACGCGUGGGUAACCUACCUCAUACAGGGGGAUAACAGUUGGAAACGGCUGCUAAUACCGCAUAAGCGCACAGUACCGCAUGGUACCGUGUGAAAAACUCCGGUGGUAUGAGAUGGACCCGCGUCUGAUUAGCUAGUUGGUGGGGUAACGGCCUACCAAGGCGACGAUCAGUAGCCGACCUGAGAGGGUGACCGGCCACAUUGGGACUGAGACACGGCCCAAACUCCUACGGGAGGCAGCAGUGGGGAAUAUUGCACAAUGGGGGAAACCCUGAUGCAGCGACGCCGCGUGAGCGAUGAAGUAUUUCGGUAUGUAAAGCUCUAUCAGCAGGGAAGAAAAUGACGGUACCUGACUAAGAAGCCCCGGCUAACUACGUGCCAGCAGCCGCGGUAAUACGUAGGGGGCAAGCGUUAUCCGGAUUUACUGGGUGUAAAGGGAGCGUAGACGGCAUGGCAAGCCAGAUGUGAAAGCCCGGGGCUCAACCCCGGGACUGCAUUUGGAACUGUCAGGCUAGAGUGUCGGAGAGGAAAGCGGAAUUCCUAGUGUAGCGGUGAGAUGCGUAGAUAUUAGGAGGAACACCAGUGGCGAAGGCGGCUUUCUGGGACGAUGACUGACUGUUGAGGUUGGAAGGGUGGGGAGCAAACAGGAUUAGGAUAUCAUGGUAAUCCUCGCUGUAGACGAUGGAUACUAGGUGUUGGGUGGCUAAGUUAUUUGGUCUUGCAGCAGACGCAAUAAGUAUUCCACUUGGGGAGUACGUUGGCAAGAAUGAAAAUCAAAGGAAAUGACGGGGGACCCGCACAAGCGGUGGAGCAUGUGGUUUAAUUCGAAGCAACGCGAAGAACCUUACCAAGUCUUUGACAUCCCGAUGACGGAGUAUGUAAUGUACUUUCUCUUCGGCGCAUCGCUGACAGGUGGUGCAUGGUUGUUGUCAGCUCGUGUCGUGAGAUGUUGGGUUAAGUCCCGCAACGAGCGCAACCCCUGUUCUUAGUAGCCAGCGGUUCGGCCGGGCACUCUAGGGAGACUGCCAGGGAUAACUUGGAGGAAGGCGGGGAUGAUGUCAAAUCAUUAUGCCUCUUAUGACUUGGGCUACUCUCGUGCUACAAUGGCGUAAACAAAGGGAAGCGGAGCCGUGAGGCCGAGCAAAUCUCAAAAAUAACGUCUCAGUUCGGACGGUAGUCUGCAACCCGACUACUCGAAGCUGGAAUCGUUAGUAAUCGCAGAUCAGAAUGUUGCG
rnacentral:rRNA from 1 species